GAUGAACGCUAGCUACAGGCUUAACACAUGCAAGUCGAGGGGCAGCAUGUUGGUUGCUUGCAACCAACGAUGGCGACCGGCGCACGGGUGAGUAACGCGUAUCCAACCUACCCUUGUCCAUCGGAUAACCCGUCGAAAGGCGGACUAACACGAUAUGCGGUUCUCAGCAGGCAUCUAACGAGAACGAAAUGUGAAGGAGAAGGAUGGGGAUGCGUCUGAUUAGCUUGUUGGCGGGGUAACGGCCCACCAAGGCGACGAUCAGUAGGGGUUCUGAGAGGAAGAUCCCCCACAUUGGAACUGAGACAUGGUCCAAACUACGACGGGAGGCAGCAGUGAGGAAUAUUGGUCAAUGGACGAGAGUCUGAACCAGCCAAGUAGCGUGCAGGAUGACGGCCCUAUGGGUUGUAAACUGCUUUUAUAGGGGGAUAAAGUGUGCCACGUGUGGCAUAUUGCAGGUACCCUAUGAAUAAGGACCGGCUAAUUCCGUGCCAGCCGCCGCCGUAAAAC
rnacentral:rRNA from 1 species